UGGCUCUUCAAGUCACCUCAGUUCAUCGUAUCAUUGUUUACAUUGGACUAAUUGCGUUGUUAAUGUGUGAGUCCAUUUUAAAUGCUGACUAGAAUGGCAACAACCUAACUUAUUUUUUGUUAUUUUAGUGGAGGCGAUUGUUAAGAGGAAUUUUGUUCCUAUGUGUUCAUUAACCAAUGCGAUUAAUACAUUCUGUCUGUUUCUAAGAAUUUGUAAGGUUCUAAUUUAAAUGAAACGGACAGAGAUCAGUCAACUUCUUGAAGACUGGGAAAAGCAAUGUAGGUUGGAUCUCGUCACUACCUCUGUCGUGUACCAGUUCACCACUGGCCUGAAAUAAACCCUCAAUUCAGAGGUCAGGUCUUUGCCUUACGGAUCCUGGAUCCACCCGUGCACGGUUUUCAGCGGUUCCUCGGGACGACAGAGGUAUCGAAGGACCAAUUGAUAAGAUAGUUAUGUUCUCCAGGUACCCAAUUUAAUUAUAUUACUCUCAGUCUGCAAACCAUAAUUUGUAAGAUCCUGGUCGAAUGAAACAGACGGAGGCCCAGCUAAAACAGUCAAAAAAGGUUUAUUAACGGGAACAUUCUAAAGUCAAGAAUACGAAUCAAUUCAUUUUAUACUGACUUCUCACGCCCACACAUUCACACAGCCAUACACACACACACACACACACACAAACAGACGCACAUACACACAUACCCACACACACACGCACACAAACAGAAGCACACACAUGUCCUGCUACGCACACACUGUCUCACCACCCAGCCGACAGAGAUAAUGACCUUGUCCUUGAGAUGUACACCCUGUUCUCUCCCAAAUCUCUAGUCAGGUCGGCACCAAGCUCAGACAGUCUGUGUUUAUAAUACCAUAAAGACAUAUUGUUUCACCCUGAUUCUGACUAGGACUACACAUUUAUUGAUUAUGAUUUCAUACAUUCUAAUCAAUUCCAUACAAUUAUAUGUUUCAGGGCGGAACAUUCUAAUCAUUCAAUUAACAGACAAUUCUCACCUAUCAGUGAUGAAGAAGGUGGAAGAGAUCAAACAGAAACAACAGGCAAAGUUUAUCAUGAACCGGCUGAAGAAGGGCAAACAGUUGGAGAAGGAAGAGGCCAUAAGCGAAGUGAAGAAGAAUAUUCACCUCAUCAAAGCACCUCAUGCAGGCCAAGCCAAACAGCUGGAAGAGAAGAUGUGGAAAUGGGUAAUGAUUAACGUGUUGCUUUCGAUGUGGUUGGUUUCAACAACUCAUAUUUCUGUUUGCUGUGUUUGAAAUGUAACUGUUCCAAAGACAAGUGGUGUCAGUCUUCAAAGCAUACUGUGUAUAAUACAGAGGACAUGUGUUUUUAAAGACAUUGGAUACAUAAAAGGAAUUGAUGUAUCCUGCCAAGUGAAAUAGGUUUCGGAUGUUCUUAUACAUUCCAUCUUAUGCAUUCCAUCUUAUGCAUUCCAGCUUAUACAUUCCAUCUUAUGCAUUCCGUCUUAUGCAUUCCGUCUUAUACAUUCUUAUACAUUCUUAUACAUUCAUCUUGGAUAUGACCAAAACCUGUAGUUUUUCCAUUUAGGCCAAAAAGUUAAUGUUUUUGCUGUGUUAUCUUGCAGUAUUACUUAACAGUCUCGUUGCAAACCAAAUGGAUGGUUUGGAGUGGAUUUUUUUAAAACACAUGCUUCCUUCUUUUCUCUUUGUCAUAAAGGCCAGCAAUGUGAAGUGAAUACAAUGUUGUUGAUCCCUUUGUAUUUUUAAAGUAUUGUGGUGGCAGCAUCAUGUUAUGGGUAG